GGGUUGUGAGGUUAAGCGACUAAGCGUACACGGUGGAUGCCCUGGCAGUCAGAGGCGAUGAAGGACGUGCUAAUCUGCGAAAAGCGUCGGUAAGGUGAUAUGAACCGUUAUAACCGGCGAUGUCCGAAUGGGGAAACCCAGUGCAAUUCGUUGCACUAUCGUUAACUGAAUACAUAGGUUAACGAGGCGAACCGGGGGAACUGAAACAUCUAAGUACCCCGAGGAAAAAAAAUCAACCGAGAUUCCCCCAGUAGCGGCGAGCGAACGGGGAGCAGCCCAGAGUCUGAAUCAGCUUGUGUGUUAGUGGAACGGUCUGGAAAGUCCGACGGUACAGGGUGAUAGUCCCGUACACCAAAAUGCACAGGCUGUGAACUCGAAGAGUAGGGCGGGACACGUGGUAUCCUGUCUGAAUAUGGGGGGACCAUCCUCCAAGGCUAAAUACUCCUGACUGACCGAUAGUGAACCAGUACCGUGAGGGAAAGGCGAAAAGAACCCCGGCGAGGGGAGUGAAAAAGAACCUGAAACCGUGUACGUACAAGCAGUGGGAGCACCUUCGGGUGUGACUGCGUACCUUUUGUAUAAUGGGUCAGCGACUUAUAUUCUGUAGCAAGGUUAACCGUAUAGGGGAGCCGCAGGGAAACCGAGUCUUAACUGGGCGUUAAGUUGCAGGGUAUAGACCCGAAACCCGGUGAUCUAGCCAUGGGCAGGUUGAAGGUUGGGUAACACUAACUGGAGGACCGAACCGACUAAUGUUGAAAAAUUAGCGGAUGACUUGUGGCUGGGGGUGAAAGGCCAAUCAAACCGGGAGAUAGCUGGUUCUCCCCGAAAGCUAUUUAGGUAGCGCCUCGUGAACUCAUCUUCGGGGGUAGAGCACUGUUUCGGCUAGGGGGUCAUCCCGACUUACCAACCCGAUGCAAACUACGAAUACCGAAGAAUGUUAUCACGGGAGACACACGGCGGGUGCUAACGUCCGUCGUGAAGAGGGAAACAACCCAGACCGCCAGCUAAGGUCCCAAAGUCAUGGUUAAGUGGGAAACGAUGUGGGAAGGCACAGACAGCCAGGAUGUUGGCUUAGAAGCAGCCAUCAUUUAAAGAAAGCGUAAUAGCUCACUGGUCGAGUCGGCCUGCGCGGAAGAUGUAACGGGGCUAAACCAUGCACCGAAGCUGCGGCAGCGACACUAUGUGUUGUUGGGUAGGGGAGCGUUCUGUAAGCCUGCGAAGGUGUGUGCUGUGAGGCAUGCUGGAGGUAUCAGAAGUGCGAAUGCUGACAUAAGUAACGAUAAAGCGGGUGAAAAGCCCGCUCGCCGGAAGACCAAGGGUUCCUGUCCAACGUUAAUCGGGGCAGGGUGAGUCGACCCCUAAGGCGAGGCCGAAAGGCGUAGUCGAUGGGAAACAGGUUAAUAUUCCUGUACUUGGUGUUACUGCGAAGGGGGGACGGAGAAGGCUAUGUUAGCCGGGCGACGGUUGUCCCGGUUUAAGCAUGUAGGCUGGUUAUCCAGGCAAAUCCGGAUAAUCAAGGCUGAGGUGUGAUGACGAGGCACUACGGUGCUGAAGUAACAAAUGCCCUGCUUCCAGGAAAAGCCUCUAAGCAUCAGGUAACAUCAAAUCGUACCCCAAACCGACACAGGUGGUCAGGUAGAGAAUACCAAGGCGCUUGAGAGAACUCGGGUGAAGGAACUAGGCAAAAUGGUGCCGUAACUUCGGGAGAAGGCACGCUGGUGUGUAGGUGAAGUCCCUGCGGAUGGAGCUGAGACCAGUCGAAGAUACCAGCUGGCUGCAACUGUUUAUUAAAAAACACAGCACUGUGCAAACACGAAAGUGGACGUAUACGGUGUGACGCCUGCCCGGUGCCGGAAGGUUAAUUGAUGGGGUUAUCCGUAAGGAGAAGCUCUUGAUCGAAGCCCCGGUAAACGGCGGCCGUAACUAUAACGGUCCUAAGGUAGCGAAAUUCCUUGUCGGGUAAGUUCCGACCUGCACGAAUGGCGUAAUGAUGGCCAGGCUGUCUCCACCCGAGACUCAGUGAAAUUGAACUCGCUGUGAAGAUGCAGUGUACCCGCGGCAAGACGGAAAGACCCCGUGAACCUUUACUAUAGCUUGACACUGAACAUUGAGCCUUGAUGUGUAGGAUAGGUGGGAGGCUUUGAAGCGUGGACGCCAGUCUGCGUGGAGCCAACCUUGAAAUACCACCCUUUAAUGUUUGAUGUUCUAACGUUGGCCCCUUACCGGGGUUGCGGACAGUGUCUGGUGGGUAGUUUGACUGGGGCGGUCUCCUCCCAAAGCGUAACGGAGGAGCACGAAGGUUAGCUAAUCCUGGUCGGACAUCAGGAGGUUAGUGCAAUGGCAUAAGCUAGCUUGACUGCGAGCGUGACGGCGCGAGCAGGUGCGAAAGCAGGUCAUAGUGAUCCGGUGGUUCUGAAUGGAAGGGCCAUCGCUCAACGGAUAAAAGGUACUCCGGGGAUAACAGGCUGAUACCGCCCAAGAGUUCAUAUCGACGGCGGUGUUUGGCACCUCGAUGUCGGCUCAUCACAUCCUGGGGCUGAAGUAGGUCCCAAGGGUAUGGCUGUUCGCCAUUUAAAGUGGUACGCGAGCUGGGUUUAGAACGUCGUGAGACAGUUCGGUCCCUAUCUGCCGUGGGCGCUGGAGAAUUGAGGGGGGCUGCUCCUAGUACGAGAGGACCGGAGUGGACGCAUCACUGGUGUUCGGGUUGUCAUGCCAAUGGCACUGCCCGGUAGCUAAAUGCGGAAGAGAUAAGUGCUGAAAGCAUCUAAGCACGAAACUUGCCCCGAGAUGAGUUCUCCCUGAGACUUUAAGUCUCCUGAAGGAACGUUGAAGACGACGACGUUGAUAGGCCGGGUGUGUAAGCGCAGCGAUGCGUUGAGCUAACCGGUACUAAUGAACCGUGAGGCUUAACCUUACAACGCCGAAG
rnacentral:rRNA from 1 species